rnacentral:tRNA from 1 species
CUCCUUAUAGCUUAGUGGUAGAGUACUGGUGCGUAAAACCGGGGGCCCAGGUUCGGUUCCUGGUAAGGGAG